CGGGCGGCAGCAGUGGGGAAUAUUGCGCAAUGGGCGAAAGCCUGACGCAGCAACGCCGCGUGAGGGAUGAAGGCCUUCGGGUUGUAAACCUCUUUCAGCAGGGAAGAAGCGAAAGUGACGGUACCUGCAGAAGAAGCACCGGCUAACUACGUGCCAGCAGCCGCGGUAAUACGUAGGGUGCAAGCGUUGUCCGGAUUUAUUGGGCGUAAAGAGCUCGUAGGCGGUUAGUCACGUCGGAUGUGAAAAUCCAAGGCUUAACCUUGGACCUGCAUUCGAUACGGGCUGACUAGAGUGUUGUAGGGGAGACUGGAACUCCUGGUGUAGCGGUGAAAUGCGCAGAUAUCAGGAAGAACACCGAUGGCGAAGGCAGGUCUCUGGGCAACUACUGACGCUGAGGAGCGAAAGCGUGGGGAGCAAACAGGAUUAGAUACCCUGGU
rnacentral:rRNA from 1 species